AACAAAUUGGAACAGUUCUCUUUUAAUUUAGCAGACAUCUUGAUCAAGCCAAAGAUUGCGGCUCUCCAUAGUGCUUGCAUUCUCCAAAGAUAUUAUCAACAUCGGAUUACUGGUGUCCUAUAAACAUGGACAUGGAUCCCUUAGGGAGAUCAGCUCCGCCCCUUCUUGCGCCCCUCCCCCAUCCUGUUUAAUUAAUUCCGCGGAGUUACCAAAUCGACACAAAUCACGGCGAUGCAAAUAUCAACGAGCGAACAAAAUGGAGAAGAAGAAAAUUCGCGUGUCUUCUAAGAAAUAUUACAAAAUUGCGUUGCGUAUACGCCCUGUAAAGAAGAAG